CCGUGGGUGCCUCAGCCAGCCCAUGGCAGAGUAAUAUCUGCCCGUGUAACCCGUGAUAACAGGGUCUUCACCCCUAAUUGUACGUGUAAUUGGUUACAUGCGCCCAUAAUUCACCUGCAGCACCGCGUAAUAUCCACCCGUAAUCACUGGGUAUUCACCCGUAAUUGUGCGCGUAAUUGGUUACAUGCGCCCGUAAUUCACCUGCAGCACCGCGUAAUAUCCACCCGUAGUCACUGGGUAUUCACCCAUAAUUGUGCGCGUAAUUGGUUACAUGCGCCCGUAAUUCACCUGCAGCACCGCGUAAUAUCCACCCGUAAUCACUGGGUAUUCACCCAUAAUUGUGCGUGUAAUUGGUUACAUGCGCCCGUAAUUCACCUGCAGCGCUGCACCGCGUAAUAUCCACCCGUAAUCACUGGGUAUUCACCUGUAAUUGUGCGCGUAUUUGGUUACAUGCGCCUGUAAUUCACCUGCAGCACUGCGUAAUAUCCACCCGUAAUCACUGGGUCUUCACCCGUAAUUGUGCACGUAAUUGGUUACAUGCGCCCGUAAUUCACCUGCAGCACCGCGUAAUAUCCACCCGUAAUUCCGGGGUAGUCGCCCGUAAAUGUUCACCCGUAUCCUUGUGCUCAAAUUAC
rnacentral:lncRNA from 1 species